AUGCAUGCAAUCCUUGAUGUAGCCUUUACUUGGGAGGAAGUCAAGGCGGCGCUGGACCAUAUCGGUGAUCUCAAGGCACCGGGGCCUGAUGGGAUGCCGACAGUUGUUUUCAAACGGCAUUGGCAUUUUAUGGGGGACAAGGUAGUGGAAGAAGUGCUCGCUGUGCUGAAUGGAGGAGAAAUCCCGGAAGGAUGGAAUGAUGCAAUGGUUGUGCUCAUACCAAAAGUCAAAAAUUCGAGAAGAAUCAAGGAUCUACGGCCUAUCAGCCUCUGCAAUGUGGUAUAUAAGUUGGUGUCAAAAGUCAUUGCGAAUAGACUAAAGAUUAUCCUCCUGGACAUCAUUUCAGACAACCAAAGCGCGUUUGUGCCGGGAAGACUCAUCACGGAUAAUGUUCUUAUAGCCUAUGAGCUAUCACACUACCUGAUGAAUAAGAGAACCGGAAAAACUGGAUAUUCGGCGGCAAAGCAGACAUGA
rnacentral:rRNA from 1 species